AUGAGUAGCUCUCUCUAUCCGGCUGCUGUGGUGGACGAGGGUAAUGCUAAGAUGGCAGCCAGGGAGUGGGUCGGAUGGGAGGAGGAGAUCGCGCUGGAGGACAACGGCGGCGAGGAGCGCAAGGUGUGCUACUUCCUCCGCUGCGCGCCGCCCCAGGACGGCGGUAAGAGCGAGAGGGAUCUGGCGGUGGUGGGUAAGUAUUGGGGACCUGGGAACAUAGCGUACUCAGCGGACUUGCAGUUCCUGCAAUCCCUCCAGACGACGCUCGAGUCUGGGCCGGCGUCCGCUAGGGUGGCGACGGUAGCGUUGGAGGUCACCCAGAUCAGGUGGAAGUCCAGGAAGGAGAUCAUGGCCUGGCUCACCUCACUCGUCUCAGAUCCCCCAUAUGGAGCCUUUGUAUUGACUUGUCCCGACCACCAUGAUGGUGCAUCUAAGGAUACCCCCUCAACACUCUCUGCUGCCGGGGAAAAUAAAGAAGGGUUCAGAUGGAUAUGCCAAUUGCCCCAUCUUGAUCAACGUCGCAGACACUACAAAUCCUUUUGGCGAGAGGGAAUGAGAAUUUCGGUUCAUGAUUUUGUGUUCAUCAAGAGUGGAGGGAGAGAGAACCCUGUUGCCUAUGUGGAAGACAUGUACGAAGAUGGCAGUGCUAAGAACAUGGUGCUGGUACGAUGGUUUGAGGAACCCGACGGUGAGCAUGGUGUUGCAUUGCCCCCAGAUCUUUAUUGUAGGGAGAUCUUCUUUGGAUAUGGGCUGCAAGAUCUUAGGGUUGAAUUUGUGGAGGGGAUGGCAGCGGUCCUGAAUCCACAACACUUUGAGAUGUUCAAGAAAAUAAGUGGAGGGCGCAGUAGCUGGCAGCCCUAUGUAUGCCGUCGGUGCAUCGAUGAUGACACCGUCGGGCCCUUUGACAUCGCGCAGCUGCAAGGAUAUGCAAACCAGGAGAUAGUAAAGGAAAUUGUUGCCGCAUCCUCGCCGAUGGUGGUGCAGGCCAAGCCACCUAAUAACAACGGUAAAGCUGCCAUUACUGGUCUGGCCGCCGAGAACCAUGCUGGUUCUUCCAGCAUUGUUACCGGUGACAAAACCAUGCAUAAGCAGAAGCAGAAGCCUCCUCCAUGCAGCGCAACUACUUCCACUUCCAGCACUAUUAUCGAUGACAACAAAACCAUGAAGAAGCAGAAGGAGAUGCCUCCUCCAUGUUGCAGCACAACUCCUUCCAAUUCCAGCUCUGUUAUCAAUGACAAAACCAUGGAGAAGCAUAAGCCUCCUCCAUGCAGCGCAACUGCUUCCACUUCCAGCACUGUUAUCGGUGACAACAAAACCAUGGAGAAGCACAAGGAGAUGCCCCCUCCAUGUAGCGCGACUCCACAGAGCACCACCAAUGGCCAGACCGUCGAAAGCAGUGUCGUUCCCCGUAGCGUGGUGAACUGUCAGACCAUCGCGCAUAAUCAGCCGACCCCAAGUGGUACUAGUACGUGUAAUGUAGCAGCCAAUGAUGCGUCAACCAUGGUGAACCCUGAGAAGAUGUUCCAGCCCGGCUGCCGUCUUGAAGCCCUGUGCCAAGACAGCAGCGUGAGGGGAUGUUGGUUCAAAUGUGUGGUACUCGGUAGGAGGGAGAAAGAUAACAAGGUCAGGGUGCGGUACCAAGAGCUUCUGAAUUCCGAGGGCAGGGGACAUCUCAGGGUUGGUCCUUCCUCUUCUUUCUCUGGAAUGGCUCAAAGUUGCAAGGGCAUACGCCUUACUAAAAGGCCCAUGCUCCGCCCACACCUCCCAAGACGCUACAGGAAGAUCGAGUCUCCGGUGGCUGUCGGGGUCAUCAUCGACGCGCGGCUGAAUGGCGGAUGGUGGGAGGGGAUCGUGCUGCAGCAGACUGCUGGCCACGUCCAAGUUUAUCUCCAAGGGGAGGGGAGACUUGUAGAGCUCCAAGUGGAGUGUCUGCGGAAGUCAUUUGAGUGGCGUGAGGAGCAAUGGCUGCCUCUAGAUGCAAGAAAAGAUGUUGCGGCCAAGAUAACCCUUGACCUGAAGAAGCAGAAGGGCGUCGAGCAAUCUGCAAUGAAGAAGGGCGGUGGGAGCUCUUCGGAACACAAGGCUCAGGAGAUGGGUGAGCAGUCUAGCCAGACGGCGGCCGCCGCAGAGCUGGCCGCGCCAACGGCAGGACUGGUGCAGCCUCUGGAGGAAGGUGACGAUGAACCUGCAAAUUCUGCUCCUCCACGGAAGAGGUUCCUGGCUCAGGGCUACUCUUUCGAGGAAAAAAGGCUGGAGGACCAGGCCAAAAAGAUCAAGGGUCCUGCUGAUGAAGCUGCAAAACCAGUCGCGGCGGAGGGAGAUGGCAUGUCCCACGGCGGCAGCUCAGCUGAUGCCAAGCGGUGCCGGGUUGAUCCUACAAACUUUGACGGCCUGAAUGGCGCUGAACGCAAGGUCAAGGCUAGAAAAUCUUCUGGCGCAAAAAAAAUGGGGUCUUCGGAGGGCAGCAGCCAGGGAGGCACCAGUGGCUCUGCCUCCAGUGGAGGCGCUGCGCUGGUGAAUCCAGUGCCCAUGGAAGAGAUAUGCGUGACCAAUGGCGAGGCUCCUGUCGUCGCUGUGGACGAAUCGGAGGUGAUCGACCUGACCAUGGAUGACUGA
rnacentral:rRNA from 1 species